UACAGAGGGGGCGAGCGUUAUUCGGAAUUAUUGGGCGUAAAGGGCGCGUAGGCGGCUUGACAAGUCCAAGGUGAAGUCCCUCGGCUCAACCGAGGAACUGCCUUGGAAACUGUCUGGCUCGAGGCCGGGAGAGGGUAGUGGAAUUCCCAGUGUAGCGGUGAAAUGCGUAGAUAUUGGGAGGAACACCGGUGGCGAAGGCGGCUACCUGGACCGGAUCUGACGCUGAUGCGCGAAAGCGUGGGGAGCAAACAGG
rnacentral:rRNA from 1 species